UCGCCGCGGCUGUUGUUGGGAGGUGGCGGGGGUGACAUUGGGGGGGGGCGGCGGCGGAGGAGCUGCCAUCAUGCUGGCGUCGUUGGGGCGGUCGGCGGGGCGGCUGCUGCGGGCCGGGAGCGGCGCGACCGGGCUGCGGCACGCGGGCGACGGGGUGCACAUCCAGCCGCGGUACCGGCAGUUCCCGGAGCUGACGCGGGCGCAGGUGAUCCGGAGCGAGCUCCUCAGCGGCUUCAUGUGGUUCUGGAUCUUCUGGCACUUCUGGCACAACUCGGACGCGGUGCUGGGCCACUUCCCCUACCCCGACCCUUCGGCCUGGACGGACGAGGAGCUGGGGAUCCCUCCGGACGACGCGGAAUAGGCGCCGCCGGCCGCGGUACACCGACCCAGCAUUACCUAACCUUAAGGACAUGCUGUCUGUCUUUCUAGAGAGAGAGAGAGAGAGACACCUGUGCAGUUUUCCCCUUAAAAGGUCCCUGGAACUAAAGAGGCCCCUGGAACCAAAGCUUUGGCUCCUCCAUCCUUAUUUCAAUAAAAGUUAACCAUAAACAAA